UUGAGGACGAGUGAUUUAGGUUUGGUAUGAGCGCGUUUGAGAGAGGGUCUGGACGAGAGAGAAACGAGAGAGUGUUGAGAUGGAGAGUUUCACUUUCCAUCCUCGUGAGGAAGAUGACUGAGAUCCGUGCCACCCUUUUCUUUUCCUUUUCUUUUUUUUUCUUUUCUUUUUAAAACAUAAGUAUUCAAAACCCAAAUUAAAUGAUAUGUUUAGUUUUCUUUCAAUUUGCCAUUUACUUUGGUCUGCUGGCAUUAUUGCUAAUUAAACUUUGCAAUUCCCACCCAACAGCCAAGCGGCGAGGGUCACGUUUGAGAUUCCCCCAUUUAUUUUUAAUUAAUCAUCCAUUAUUAGACCAUCCCAUUUUUAUUUUUAUUUUAAUUCAUACUUUAAUCUAUU
rnacentral:lncRNA from 1 species